AUGCCAGCGGGUGUGAACGAUACUACAAUUGUGCUCAUUCCUAAAGGAAACAAUCCGAUUAGUAUCAAGGAUUUCCGCCCCAUAAGCCUCUGCAACGUUAUAUACAAGGUAAUCUCGAAGGUGCUAGUAAAUCGUUUACGCCCUCUACUUGAUGACCUCAUUUCUGAAACUCAAAGUGCCUUCAUCCCGGGGAGACUGAUCACUGACAAUGCGAUCAUCGCUUUUGAAUGCUUCCAUAAAAUCCAACACAGCAAGAACCGGAGAGAUACCCAUUGUGCUUACAAAUUGGACUUGGCCAAAGCCUAUGACAGGGUUGAUUGGGAUUUUCUUGAAGGUGCUCUUAUACAACUGGGCUUUGAUCGGAAGUGGAUUAGAUGGGUGAUGAUAUGCGUGAGGUCAGUCACUUUUUCGGUUAAAUGCAAUGGUGCGCUGCUGGAUGCUUUUGUGCCAUCGAGAGGCCUGAGGCAGGGGGAUCCGUUGAGUCCAUACCUCUUCUUAUUUGUGGCUGAUGGAUUGGCUACCUUAUUAAACAGAGAAGUUGAAGAAGGUACUAUCUCCCCACUGAAAAUCGCCCAAGGCAGACCGGGUAUAUCAAAUCUCCUCUUCGCGGAUGACAGCUUGCUUUUCUUCAAAGCUAAUGUAGAUCAAGCAAGGAAAGUGAAGGAGCUCUUAGACCUUUUUUAG
rnacentral:rRNA from 1 species